rnacentral:misc_RNA from 1 species
AGGUCCUAACCAGCAACACAUGAUGCAACCAGGAAUGCCAACAGGGUACCAAGGAUCUAAUCCUAAUAACGUUGUCCACCCUUUUGUUCAGCAAGGUUUUCCUCUAUUCUGAUUUCUAAACUCAAGGCCAAAAAAAGUAAAUUGUGCCAGCUCUAAAAGAGGUCAAGCUAAUAAAAGAGAUUUUGACAUGUUCCCCGAGAAGUGUUCACAGUUUCCAACUUAGAUAGUGUGUGAAAGUGUGAGAGAGAGAAGAUACAAGACGCAUUUAAUGUGAUAUCAGUUCUUAAUUGUUUGCAGGAAAGCAAACUGAUUUUAUUACAAAAGAAACAGCCCAGUUGAGUUUUUGUAGAGUAAAAGUUUAAAAAAAAAACCACAAAAAAAUAAAAAAAAAACUACUG